rnacentral:rRNA from 1 species
CGAGGCGAACCGGGGAAACUGAAACAUCUCAGUACCCCGAGAAAAAGAAAUCAACCGAGAUUCCCCCAGUAGCGGCGAGCAAACGGGGAGCAACCCAGAGUCAACAUCAAUAUUUACCACAGGAGAAGGGUCUGGAAAAGCCGGCAAUAAAGGGUGAUAGCCCCGUAUCUAAAGCGGUAAGUGUUGUGAACUCGAAGAGUAGGGCGGGACACGUGUUAUCCUGUCUGAAUAUGGGGGGACCAUCCUCCAAGGCUAAAUACUCCUGACUGACCGAUAGUGAACCAGUACCGUGAGGGAAAGGCGAAAAGAACCCCGGCGAGGGGAGUGAAAUAGAACCUAAAACCGUGUACGUACAAGCAGUAGGAGCACCCGAAAGGGUGUGACUGCGUACCUUUUGUAUAAUGAGUCAGCGACUUAUAUCCUGUAGCAAGGUUAACCGCAUAGGGGAGCCGUAGGGAAACCGAGUCUUAACUGGGCGUUAAGUUGCAGGGUAUAGACCCGAAACCCGGUGAUCUAGCCAUAAGCAGGUUGAAG